AGUCAUCGACAGCUAAUCGAUCAGGUGCAUUCCUCGCAAAUCUACGCACGCGAACAUCUCUCCCCUUCUUCGCCCCACUCGCCGAUCCGAACCACCUCAAACCCCAGCACCGGACCCGUCACUCCCCUCCCCCGCCCCGCCCAGCCCAGAUCCAGAUCCACCCGGCGCGGCACAGCCGCGGCCACCGAAAUCCCUAGAGGAAUAAUGGCCUCCGCGGCCGCAGCGGCGCCGCCGCCGCUGUCCUCGCCGGAGUCCGACCCGCGCCUCGUCGAGGCCUUCGUGCCUUUCCUCGAGAAGCUCGUGAAGAACGCCUCGUGGCGCAACAAGGCGCACUCCAAGCUCUCCCACACCGCCAAGUCCAUCCUCGACCGCCUCCAGAGGCCCCCGCCCCCCUCGCCCACCGCGGCGCAGACCCCGUCCACCCCCACCUCGCCCUCCACGCCGACUUCCUCCUCCUGGCAGCCGGGCCCGCUCCGCAACCUCUCGCUCGAGGACUCGGAGCUGCUCCUCUCCCCCAUCUCCUCCGCGCUCGGCUCCGGCAGCGCCAAGCUCGUCGAGGCCGCGCUCGAGCUACUCCACAGGCUGAUCGCACACUCCUACAUCCAUGGCGAGGCCGACCCGUCGGCUGACCCCUCGUCACAGCUCGUCGCUUCCCUGCUCGAGGCGGCCUGCAAUGCGCUCCACCUCGACGACGAGCACAUUGAGCUCCUCCUCCUCAAGACUCUCCUCUCUGCGGUCACAUCCACCUCCGUGUGCCUCCACGGCGACUGCCUGCUCCGCGCUGUGCGCGCCUGCUAUGAUAUGUAUCUGGGGAGCCGUAGCACCGUGAAUCAGGCCACUGCCAAGGCGUCGCUCGUGCAGAUGUUGGUAAUCGUCUUCCGCAGAAUGGAGGCAGAUUCAUCAACGAUCCCCGUGCAGCCCAUCGUCGUGGCUGAAGUGAUUGAGUUGCCUGAUGCUGGCUCAGGUGCAUCACCCACCGCCGAUGUCACCUUCGUACAGGGAUUCAUCUCGAAGAUCAUGGUGGACAUUGAUGGUGCAUUCACACCUCUGGCACGGACAACCUCGUCUGCUGCGGCAGGCACUGUGCCCCAUGAUGGUGCUUUUGAGACGACCGCAGCAGCUGAGGAAGGGGCAAAUCCUGCGGACUUGCUUGAUUCAACGGAUAAGGACAUGCUGGAUGCCAAGUACUGGGAGAUUAGCAUGUACAAGACAGCUCUUGAGGGUCGUAAGGAUGAGCUUGGCGUGGAGGGGGCAGUGGUAGCCACUUUGGAUGAUGAUGCUGAUGUCAGGAUUGGGAAUAAGCUGCGGAGAGAUGCUUUCUUAGUUUUCCGGGCAUUAUGUAAGCUCUCGAUGAAGACACCGCCGAAGGAUGCACCAGCUGAUCCGAUAGUGAUGCGGGGGAAGAUCCUUGCUCUUGAACUUCUCAAGAUCUUGCUUGAAAAUGCUGGGGCUGUGUUCCGCACCAGCGAGAGGUUUCUAGGUGCUAUCAAGCAGUAUUUGUGCCUAUCACUUUUGAAGAACUGUGCCUCGUCACAUAUGAUUGUUUUUCAGUUAUCUUGUUCUAUUUUUAUUAGCUUGGUUUCAAGAUUUAGGCCAGGAUUGAAGGCAGAAAUUGGAGUAUUUUUUCCCAUGAUCAUUCUAAGAGUUCUGGAAAAUAUUGCACAACCAAAUUUUCAAGCAAAGAUGAUAGUUCUUCGUUUUUUGGAGAAGCUCUGUACUGAUUCUCAAAUCUUGGUUGACAUUUUCAUCAAUUACGACUGUGAUGUCCACUCAUCGAACAUAUUUGAGAGGAUGGUCAACGGUCUGCUUAAAACAGCUCAAGGGCCUCCUGCGGGUAUUGCUACCACAUUGGUACCGCCUCAGGAUACGACAAUGAAGAGUGAAGCAAUGAAAUGCUUAGUUUCUAUCCUCAGAUCCAUGGGAGAUUGGAUGAAUAAGCAGCUAAGUAUUCCAGAUCCUGACUCUCCUAAGAUUGAAUCAGAGCAAAACGAUAAUGAUGGUGGAAAUGAGUUUCCCCAGACAGAGAUCAAUGGAGAUGCUUCUAGCGAGGUAUCCGAUUCACAUUCAGAAGUAUCAAAUGGGGUUUCAGAGGCUGCAUCUUUGGAGCAGCGUCGAGCUUACAAAAUGGAACUUCAGGAGGGUAUCGCUCUGUUUAACCGGAAGCCUAGAAAGGGAAUUGAAUUCUUAAUAAAUGCCAACAAGGUCGGGGAGUCAGCUGAGGAUAUAGCUGCUUUCCUGAAAAGUACUUCUGGCUUGAACAAGACUAUGAUUGGUGAUUAUUUAGGGGAAAGGGAAGAUUUAUCCCUCAAAGUCAUGCAUGCAUAUGUGGAUUCUUUUAAUUUUCAGAAUAUGGAAUUUGAUGAAGCGAUCAGAGCCUUUCUUCAAGGUUUUAGGCUUCCUGGAGAAGCUCAAAAGAUUGAUCGGGUUAUGGAGAAAUUUGCAGAGCGUUACUGCAAAUGCAACCCAAAGGCCUUUUCGAGUGCAGACACAGCUUAUGUUCUUGCUUAUUCAGUCAUAAUGCUUAACACUGAUGCACAUAACCCAAUGGUCAAAAAUAAGAUGUCACCAGAAGAUUUCAUAAGAAACAAUCGUGGUAUUGAUGAUGGGAAAGACCUACCAGAAGAAUUUAUGAGGUCCUUGUAUGGAAGGAUUUGGAAAAAAGAAAUUAAGAUGAAAGAAGACGAAUUUGUUCCUCAUCAGCAACAAUCAACAAGCUCUAACAAAAUUCUUGGGUUGGAUAACAUUCUUAACAUUGUUAUACGCAAACGAGGUUCAGCUAUGGAGACGAGUGAUGAUCUCAUUAAGCAUAUGCAGGAGCAAUUCAAAGAAAAGGCUCGUAUGUCUGAGUCAAUAUUUUAUCCAGCCACGGAUGUAGUAAUUUUGAAGUUCAUGGUCGAGGUUUGUUGGGCUCCUAUGCUUGCUGCCUUCAGUGUGCCACUUGACCAGAGUGACGAUGAAAUUGUCAUAUCCCAGUGUCUUGAGGGAUUUCGCUGUGCAAUACAUGUUACCGCAGCUAUGUCGAUGAAGACUCAAAGGGAUGCUUUCAUUACAUCGCUUGCCAAGUUUACAUCACUUCACUCUGCUGCGGAUAUCAAGCAGAAAAAUAUUGAAGCGAUUAAGGCAAUUCUGUUGAUUGCAGAUGAAGACGGAAAUUACUUGCAAGAAGCAUGGGAGCAUAUAUUGACCUGUGUUUCUCGUUUCGAGAAUCUACAUCUUGUAGGUGAAGGUGCUCCUCCAGAUGCCACUUUCUUUGCACUGCAACAGCCAGACCUUGAUAAAUCAAAACAGGCUAAAUCCUCGAUUAUCCCUGGUUUGAAAAAGAAGGCUCCAACUGCUGGUGCUGCUUCUAAAAGAGGUACUUAUGACAGCGCUGGUGUUGGUGGAAAAGCUUCUGGUGUUGAUCAAAUGAAUAAUGCGGUGACAAUCCUCUUGGAGCAAGUCGGGAUGGCUGAAAUGAAUCGUGUAUUCAUAAGAAGUCAAAAUCUCAACAGUGAGGGUAUAAUUGAUUUUGUAAAGGCCCUUUGUAAGGUUUCAAUGGAGGAAUUGCGGUCUGCUUCUGAUCCACGUGUUUUUAGCCUGACUAAGAUUGUUGAAAUCACGCAUUACAAUAUGAACCGCAUCAGGCUUGUCUGGUCAAGCAUAUGGCAUGUCUUGUCUGAAUUUUUUGUUACCAUUGGCUGCUCAGAAAAUCUUUCAAUUGCAAUAUUUGCUAUGGAUUCAUUGCGGCAGCUGGCAAUGAAGUUCCUGGAGCGAGAAGAACUGGCCAACUACAAUUUCCAAAAUGAAUUUAUGAAGCCUUUUGUUGUUGUAAUGAGGAAGAGUAGAGCUGUUGAGAUAAGAGAACUAAUCAUCAGGUGUGUAUCUCAAAUGGUACUGGCCCGUGUUAAUCAUGUGAAGUCAGGGUGGAAAAGCAUGUUUAUGGUUUUUGCAACGGCAUCAUAUGAUGAUCAUAAAAACAUUGUACUCUUGGCCUUUGAAAUUAUCGAGAAGAUUUUGCGAGAUUAUUUCCCCUACAUUACCGAGACUGAGUCUUCAACUUUCACUGAUUGUGUGAACUGUCUUAUUGCGUUCACCAACAGUAGGUUUAACAAGGAUAUAAGCCUUAAUGCAAUUGGUUUUCUUCGAUUCUGUGCGGCAAAGUUGGCAGAAGGUGACAUCGGGUCCUCUUCAAGGCUGAAGGAACCUUCGCCUCGUUUGACCAAGGAUGGAAAGCAGGAAGGUGCAAUUCAGGUUGAUAAGGAUGAUCAUAUACACUUUUGGUUUCCUUUAUUAGCAGGAUUGUCUGAACUUACUUUCGACCUUAGACCAGAAAUUAGGAAAAGUUCCUUGCAGGUGUUAUUUGACACAUUAAGAAACCAUGGCCAUGUUUUCUCUCUUCCUUUGUGGGAGAAGGUGUUUGAUUCAGUACUUUUCCCAAUAUUUGAUUAUGUAUGGCAUGCUAUUGAUCCAUCUGGUGGUUCUUCACAAGGACAAAAUGCGGAAAAUGAUCCUGCAGAGCUUGAUCAAGAUGCUUGGAUGUAUGAAACGUGCACGUUGGCCCUUCAGCUAGUUGUUGACCUUUUCGUCAAGUUCUAUGACACUGUCCAUCCACUUCUGAGGAAAGUUCUUUCACUCUUGACAAGUUUCAUUAAGCGUCCCCAUCAGAGUCUUGCUGGUAUAGGCAUUGCUGCAUUUGUUCGCCUGAUGAGCAGUGCUGGCUCUGUCUUCGUGGAUGAAAAAUGGCUGGAAGUCGUGUUGUCUUUGAAAGAAGCUACCACAGAGACGCUUCCUGACUUCUCUUAUAUCGCAUCUGGAGCUUACCUUGAAAAUGUACCAAUAGAAAAUGGAGACUCUUCAGAUAAGAGAGAAGACGAAUCUCAACCAUCAGAGGAUGGUACUGAAGAAACCUCUAGAUCAAGGAACCUGUAUUUUGCAAUUGCUGAUGCCAAGUGCCGAGCUGCUGUCCAACUCCUAUUGAUUCAGGCUGUGAUGGAGAUAUAUAACAUGUACAGAGCUCAGUUGUCGGCACAGAACACAGUAAUCCUCUUUGAGGCCUUGCAUACUGUUGCCACUCAUGCUCACAAGAUAAACAGUGACAACGACCUGCGGACCAAGUUGCAGGAGCUGGGCUCUAUGACCCAAAUGCAGGACCCGCCAUUACUACGCCUUGAGAACGAGUCAUAUCAGUUGUGCCUCACUAUCCUCCAGAAUAUAUUCUUGGACAGAGCUCCAGACGAAGGGAGCUUAGAGGUCGAAACCCACCUAGUUGGACUUUGCAAGGAGGUUCUUGAGGUAUACUUGAGCACAGCAAGGCCUGCUCACCUUUCUGGCGGUAUACAGCCGCUUGGCCAUUGGCUUAUUCCGGUUGGUUCGUCAAAGCGGAGAGAGCUUGCUGCCAGGGCACCGCUUGUUGUCUCAACAUUGCAAGCUAUCAGCGGUCUCGGUGACUCAUCUUUUGAGAAGAACCUUGGCCAGUUCUUCCCCCUACUAGCUGGUCUCAUCAGCUGUGAGCAUGGUUCAGGUGAAGUGCAGGUGGCCUUGAGUGAUAUGUUUAGCACUUGGGUUGGCCCAAUCGUGCUUCAGUCCUGUUGAUGCUGAAGCACCCUGUGAUAUAGUAUACCUCCACAUGUAAGUUAUUCUUUGUUCCAGACUUCCAGUGUCAUAUCUUUCUGUUGCUCCGUUUCCCCCCAUUUUGUUGUGUUCAUUAUUUUAGUCGUUGUGGGAAGUGGUGUCUUGAGCCGAACUGAUCAUGUAGAUCCUUUCCCCUUUUAUGCUCUUGGUUUUCUGCAUUGGGAGCGUGUAUGUUACAAGAUGAUUAAAUUAUAUGCCUUAGUAUAUAGUUCACCAAGUUAUUGAGCAGUUCGUUCUGCUUUGGGAAAUGUUUGUAACUGCCGCUGUCCGAAGCACAGGAAGCUCAUUGUGUUAUACAUUUCAUUAACUUUUGAUUGGCAUCAGAUGGUUCUAGAAACUUAAUUCUCCGAUGAACAAACCCGUACCAUGCUUUGACCCGCAUCUACGUACAUAGUAGUACUCCAGUUAAUUGUAUCUGCCGUGAGAGGCUGCCAUUUUUUAAACACGAGACUGCCGACACUAAAACAUCUUGGUAGCCCUUUGUCAUCGUGUCUCUGGAAUAGAGCCAACGCUCUACGCAGGCCUGCGUGUCUCUCUAAUGGCUUCUCGUUAUCUCGCGCCAAAAGACCUAAGCCCGGGCACAAGUAUCUCCGCGUGCCCGGCACUUUCUGGAGUCUUCCGCGGUCCGUGGAGUACACUUGUGCCACUUUUUCUGGCACCUUUUGUCGAGCUCCGGAGGCCACUCCAUGGUGCCCUGGACGUCCACGUCGUGACCGCUCUCGUUGCACGCACACUUCUACACGUUCACGGCUGGGGAGUGCCCGCCGCCGCGGCCACCCCCUCGCGGCCGGGCUAGCUCGUCCUCCCCGGGCCUAUAUAAUCGCACGCUCGUCAUUGGCAUCAGCACGCAAUAAUCACAGUCCACAACGAACCAAGUGUGAUCUAGCCAGUCCCUGCAUCCUGCUGGGAGUAAUGACGACCAUGGUUGCCUUGAGCUCCUUCGCCGGCGCCACCGUCGUCGGCCGCCCCGCCUCCUGGUCUCCGGCACUGCCGCGUCGGCGCGCCCUCCUCGUCAGGGCCCAGACCGAGCCGGAUAUCGAGUCGACCAAGGAGACGACGAGCGCAUCGACAUCCUCCCCAACCCCAACCCCGACCCCAAGCCCGGUGGUGCCCAAGCCCAAGCCCAAGGCUAACCCCUCGGUCUGGGACGCGCUCGCGUUCAGCGGCCCAGCGCCCGAGCGCAUCAACGGCCGGCUCGCUAUGGUGGGCUUCGUGGCGGCGCUCUCCGUCGAGGCAGCGCGCGGCGGCGGGCUACUCGACCAGGCCGGCAGCGGCGCCGGGCUGGGAUGGUUCCUGACAACCGCUGCGGUGUUCUCGGUGGCGUCGCUGGUGCCGCUCCUUCAGGGCCAGAGCGUGGAGAGCAAGUCCAGCGGCGUAUGGAGCGCCGACGCCGAGCUAUGGAACGGCCGCUUCGCCAUGCUCGGCCUCGUCGCACUCGCCAUCACCGAGUUCAUCACCGGCACGCCUUUCGUCAACGUCUGAAACUAGUUAGUGUAGUGCAGUACGCUUGCACGUGCAUGUACAUAUUUGUUGGUCAUGCUGAGGAACUAGGACUACGGACCACGCGACAAGCGUGGUAAAAGCAAUCUCAAAUUGACAAAAAAAAACUAGGACUACGGACUCUGACAUUCUGUAAGCCGUAUCAUUAGGUUGUCUUUCUUGGUGAUGAUGUCUUGGAGCCUACAAUUAAUGCAGGAGUGAAUUGCGUCCAUGCUAAUACUCCCAUUCUACCAAGACGCUUG
rnacentral:rRNA from 1 species